CAGAACGACCAACAGGAAAAUGCGACAUUGAGCCAUAUCGUCGAGAUGGGCAGGCGGAUAGGGGACGGUUCCCGGAUAAAUAUUCUUCGUGAUAACUGGAUCGUGAGGAAUGGGAGCCUCAGGCCUUUGGGCGAGGAUUAUGAGCAGGGCAUUACUCAUGCUGGCGACCUUCUCACGGCACACGACACGGCUUGGGCUUGGGACAGUGAGAAGCUGGCGCACAUGUUCAGCUGUGAUGAUGCCAAGGUAAACCGCUAUUGGCGGGCUGGGGACGAAUGGCUAUAUUGCAUGGACUUGUACCAAAAACGGCCAAUUCACCGUAAGAUCAGCGCAUCUGUGAACAGAGUGAAGAGCGGACGGACGGGAUCUUCCUCGUCGGUCAGCAAGCACAGGGGAUGGCUGGCCCUUUGGGACACUCAUGCUACAAACGAGGUCAAAGUACACAUGUGGCUUGUGAUGCGUAAUGGUCUUGCGGUCGGUGACGAGCUCCAUCAUAGAGGGAUCAAGCCUGGGUUAUUUUGAGGCUCAGGUUUGCUGGUUUAGGCGCUCUGCUAUUGGAGCUGCUCACAAGUUAGCUAAAGCGCGGGGUUAGCAAUGAACUUUGUAAGAUGUGAUUUUAUGCCCCACCUGAUUGUAUCCUGCAUAUUGUGCCGGCUGAGAUUUCAAAGUCCGAAUGCUGUUUAAGUAAUCUACACUACUAUUAAACAAGAGGACAUGUUCACAGGGCGAACGAAAACUCUGCCGUUCCCACGCCCGCACGAGGGAAACAAUCGCGCCCUUGAUUCCGCUGGCAGCUCCCUAAUUUUCAGGCCGAUUCCAACUGAAUCGUGCCUCCCCGAUCCUUCUUUCUCUCCCCAGAUCGAGGAAAACAGCGCCGCCUCCUCCCUUCUCCCACAAUGACGCAACCCCCAAUCCUCAGCCGAACUGCCCUGCGACAACCUCCCGGGCACUCUCCCCGCGACAACCUCCAGAGCGGCCCGGAGCGGCGUGCACUGGAAGCCGGAGCCGGUAAGGAGUGCGGCCACCGCCGGCAGACAAGGGGAGGCGUGGUCGAGCUCUUUUGGGUCGGCCAUGGAGGCCGCGCGCAAGCCCGCGGCGCGGCGGCGCCCGCUCCCCCUGCCUCUCCGGCCGCACCGGUCUCCUCCCAAAGGACGAAGUGGGCGCAUGUGUGGCGGCCGCCGGCGAACGAGGCCACGCACGAGCCCGCGGCGCGGCGGCGCGGAUCCCUCUUCCCCCUGCCGGUUUGAAAUCCGCACCGUCGCCGGCAAGGUAACUGCUCUCCUCCGGUUAGGCCCUGGCCUGGGCAUGUGCAGCCGGUGCGAGCAAUCACCGAGCCAUCAGUGAUUUGUUGAUCCCUAUGAUUCACUCUCUAAUUUGCAUUGGUCAGUAAAAGAUCCUCCUCUAUAAGCGGAGCAGGUUGCUUUGCUUUGUAUCCGAUCUAAUUUGUGCUUUACUUCUUUUUGGGCUGUACUGAUUCUCCAUAUGCUCCACUUGAGAGAGCAAGAGAAGGUUACUCUACUCCAUUAUCUACUAAUUCCAGCAAUCAAGGUCAAUACAUGUUACAUCAAUCAGGGUCAGUAAUCAGUACUACUAAUUUCAGAGAAGACCUGUAUAGCAGUACUACUCCAUCGGCAAGCGUUCGGUGCUAGAUUUCUUUCACGCCUAUGUGGUGUUGUGCCAUGGUCGCUCUCCCUCCUCCAGGUUUGAUUUUUCAAGUUUCGUGUCUUUGUGUUUUAAGAUGUCAUCCCAAAAGUAUUUGUAACAUGAAAAACCAAAGAAAGAGAAGAUUAACACGUGAGUUUAUAAAUUCUCAAAAGGAAGUCAUUGAAGAAAAUUUAGGACAAAUAUAGGCACUUGAACCGGCAAAGGGCCUCACUUUGUUAUCUUGCACAGGGACUCAGCCAAGUCCGGCCUGGCCAUGCCUCCGUCCUCCCGCCUUGCCGGCUGCGUGUGUGUGCUGUAUGUGCUUGACGCUGCAUGCUUGUUGGCUUGUCACUGGGUGCUUGUCGCUGCUGGCCUGCUGCAGCUGCUGCUGCUUUGCUGUAUAUAUUUGUAUAAUGCUUGCAUCUUGUAUGCAGCUAUGCUUUGUUUUAUACUGACAUUGUUGUUGCUGCUGCUGACCUGUUGAUGUUGUUGCUUACUGCCGCUGUCCUCCUGAUGUUGUUGCUGUGCUGGCCAAGGAGUGAGUCCAGAGAUACACAACAUUCAAUUAUGAGGAUAUAGGAAAUUAAUGGUCAUUCAGUCAUUGAUGAUAUAAAAAGAGGCAUGAAGGCAACGAAAGGGGCAGUAUUUUGAUCUCAUGUCAUCUCGCACAUAGAUUAUUUGUUCUUCUUUACGUACCAUUUUAUUAAUUAUUUAUAUAUACCCACCAUACCGCCGUAUUAUUGUUUCUUGAAAUUACCGUAUCCCCAUUUCCUUAUCGCCGUAUCCGUAACGCCGGUGCUUCAUAGCUAUGAAGCAUGAGUCUACAAUGAUCUAUUUUCAUGUUCUAUCAAGAAGUUCUGUUUGCAAUUUUCUUAUAUAAGUUUCAUUUAUGACAAUAAUGAUCGAUCCAUGUUCAUAGCUAUGUACGUGUUUCACUGGUAUUACCAUUGUUCAUAGUGUAAGCAUAUUAAACAGUUAUAUGCUUAUUGCACUACAAAGUGUAAACUAUUUAUUAUGUUCCAUCAUUUGACAGAGCAAUGCUAAAGUUCUAAAGUAUCAAGUGAUUGAAUACACUGAAAAUGAUUACAUAUGCAAGCUUUGCAAAGUAGAGAACCUCUUUUUUAGCCUCCACCAAUUUAUUGUUGUCCUUGUGUUGCUUGGAUAAAAUGAAAUGCAUACUAUACUUGCCCUAAAUGCUGUGUUUGGGAGAUCGAGCAUGGCUUACGUAUGCCUUUGCCACAAAAUUCUGUUCUUGGGGCUAAAGAUCUGCCAAGGGCCAUGCAUAGCGAUCAUAUAGAAGAACAACUCUUUAAACGGCUCAAUGAAGAGAGACACGAACGGGCUAUUCAUGAUGGGAAAAGUUUUGAUGAGAUCCUUGUUUCAUGCACGUGCACUUUUUUUGGGGAAUCGGGAGCUUUUCCGGACUGAAUAAGUAGAGUUAUAGUCAAGCUGAAGGCUGAAAACGAAGCCAUAAUUCAUAUUUAUCCAAGCACACCUUUGCCGCUCAGGCGAAUCGUUUUUUGCACACAGGUGAGCAGCAACAUUAGCUGGUCUGUGCACAAGCCUAAAUUGAAAACUAGAAUAAACUCUACUUAGUUGGUUCACUUCCUUCAGGAUGGGGGCAAUCACUGAUCUGUCUUGAGCAUCACUGGACCAAAAUAUAUGUACCACCUAGCAACAGAUUGCUGGUACAAAUAUAUGUACAUACAUUUGGGUGUAUAGCUGGUUGAUGUAUUGUUUUAAUGAGGGUUUGGUUUACGAGUGUGUGCAGUCUGUAUAAGACUAGGAGUAUUGGAUGGUUUUGAGUCGGCACUCGGCAGUAUGUAUUUUGAAUGAAGUUUGUGGUAUGUAUAGGGGUGAUAGAUUGGAUAGGAACUUCUGCUCUAAUUACUAUGGUUGUGGUGAAAUCAUGUUUUGCUUGAAUUAUACUCCCUCCGUUCCUAAAUAUAAGUCUUUCUAGGGAUUCCAAGAAGGGACUACAUAUGGAGCAAAAUGAGUGAAUUUACACUCUAAAACAUGUCUACAUACAUCCGUAUGUAGUUUAUAGUAGAAUCUCUAAAAAGACUUAUAUUUAGGAACGGAGGGAGUAUAUUUGGAACUGAUCUUAAUUUACUAGAUAAAUCAAUUCCGAAAUCCAAUAAACUUCUAUAAUUUCUAUAAUUUCCAAGAAUAGGAGUAUUGCUGGUUAAUCAAUUGAUUUACAUUAAUAUCUUAAAAGGGGACCGCACGCAUGUCCUGAUGCUAAAUCUUUUUAGAAAGGAAGGGUUUAUGUAAUUUUGGUAGGAUAAAAAAUGUAACCUUAGUAUUACCUAGAGCUAGGAUAUUUGAGUAGAUUAUUUUAAUUUUUGUGCUCAUAUGUGAGAUCAUGAUAAAAUUUGGAAUAUCAUGUUGCUAUAACGGAAUCAGUCGGGAUCGUGAAGUCUGCACCAGAAUGUUGACCACCCUUUUUUGUUUUUUAAGUUAAGGAAUUUACAACAAGUCUCUUGCAAAAAUAACUGUCCUAUCCCUUUCUACAAUCUCUCUAUAUCUUUGUUAGAUAAGGUAAGUAUUGCAUAAUAGUUCGGUUUUCCGUGAUUUUUUUCAUUCCUCUGUGUAAUAGCCUAAUAUGGGUUCACAAUCAAUAACAUGCUCACCAUCGAGAGUAACGAUCAGUCGAUAUGUACUCCUAAUUCUCUCUCUUAUAAACGUGAAGUCCAAAUGCCUACUGGCUGCUUUCAGGUGACUGGAAUUUUGAGCCUUCAGCUUGUCGAUAUGUGCUUGAGAAGUAGGUAAGAUGGAGCUAAGGCUGAGAUGGAGGCGACACUGCCUGCCGCAACGAUUCCAAGAUGCUGAGCUAGGACCUGGACGGAGGCGGGGACGACACUACUUGUGGUGGCGUCUCCAAGAUGAAGAUCUAGGACCUGGAUGGAGGCAGGGACGACGCAACUUGUCCCAGCGUCGUCAGCGGAGGACAUGCAGCGGGUUGUGGGGUUUGGGUGGAGGUGGGUUAGAGGGAUGACCGGUGGCAGCAACGGCAACUCGGGUAGACCAGGGCGGCGAGGCUGCAGUGCGGGCGUUCGUGUGCCAGGAAGAAGGUUACAGUCCGUUGGAUGCAUAAUAUGGGAGGGCGGAGGAAAAACUGACUGAAGAAAAAAUCUUUUCGAGCCUGAAAUAGUCGCUCUCAAUUGUAACCAUAGAAGCUUGGCACGUUUUGAAGAACCAGAGUUGCCUGUGUGUUCUAGAGUUUUUUCUUGCAACUUUAAGUCCUUUGUUUGCUCUAUCUUGAAGACCUUUGUUCUACACGUCUUACUAUGGGUUUUGAAGAAAUAGAGUUGUGUGAUCUG